AUUGAACGCUGGCGGCAGGCCUAACACAUGCAAGUCGAACGGCAGCACAGAAGAGCUUGCUCUCUGGGUGGCGAGUGGCGGACGGGUGAGUAAUGUCUGGGAAACUGCCCGAUGGAGGGGGAUAACUACUGGAAACGGUAGCUAAUACCGCAUAACGUCGCGAGACCAAAGUGGGGGACCUUCGGGCCUCACACCAUCGGAUGUGCCCAGAUGGGAUUAGCUAGUAGGUGGGGUAAUGGCUCACCUAGGCGACGACUCCUAGCUGGUCUGAGAGGAUGCCAAGCCACACUGGAACUGAGAACAGGUCCAGACUCCUACGGGAGGCAGCAGUGGGGAAUAUUGCACAAUGGGCGCAAGCCUGAUGCAGCCAUGCCGCGUGUAUGAAGAAGGCCUUCGGGUUGUAAAGUACUUUCAGCGGGGAGGAAGGCGGUGAGGUUAAUAACCUCGCCGAUUGACGUUACCCGCAGAAGAAGCACCGGCUAACUCCGUGCCAGCCGCCGCCGUAA
rnacentral:rRNA from 1 species